GUUGCUUCUAUAUAAAAGAAAAAGAUGACUGCCCAAUUAACUAGGUGGUCGUUCAUUGUUAGAAGCAUACAUCAAAGAAAAUACCAGCUUUAAACAGCAUGAUGUUCAUCUCUUGCAUUGUGUUACCUGUCUCCUGGAAAUGU